rnacentral:rRNA from 1 species
UACGAAGGGGGCUAGCGUUGUUCGGAAUCACUGGGCGUAAAGCGCACGUAGGCGGAUCUUUAAGUCAGAGGUGAAAUCCCAAGGCUCAACCUUGGAACUGCCUUUUGAUACUGGGGAUCUUGAGUCCGGGAGAGGUGAGUGGAACUGCGAGUGUAGAGGUGAAAUUCGUAGAUAUUCGCAAGAACACCAGUGGCGAAGGCGGCUCACUGGCCCGGUACUGACGCUGAGGUGCGAAAGCGUGGGGAGCAAACAGG